AGAGUUUGAUCCUGGCUCAGGAUGAACGCUAGCGACAGGCUUAACACAUGCAAGUCGAGGGGCAGCAUGAUUUGUAGCAAUACAGAUUGAUGGCGACCGGCGCACGGGUGAGUAACGCGUAUGCAACUUACCUAUCAGAGGGGGAUAGCCCGGCGAAAGUCGGAUUAAUACCCCAUAAAACAGGGGUCCCGCAUGGGAAUAUUUGUUAAAGAUUCAUCGCUGAUAGAUAGGCAUGCGUUCCAUUAGGCAGUUGGCGGGGUAACGGCCCACCAAACCGACGAUGGAUAGGGGUUCUGAGAGGAAGGUCCCCCACAUUGGUACUGAGACACGGACCAAACUCCUACGGGAGGCAGCAGUGAGGAAUAUUGGUCAAUGGCCGAGAGGCUGAACCAGCCAAGUCGCGUGAAGGAAGAAGGAUCUAUGGUUUGUAAACUUCUUUUAUAGGGGAAUAAAGUGGAGGACGUGUCCUUUUUUGUAUGUACCCUAUGAAUAAGCAUCGGCUAACUCCGUGCCAGCAGCCGCGGUAAUACGGAGGAUGCGAGCGUUAUCCGGAUUUAUUGGGUUUAAAGGGAGCGCAGACGGGAGAUUAAGUCAGUUGUGAAAGUUUGCGGCUCAACCGUAAAAUUGCAGUUGAUACUGGUUUCCUUGAGUGCAGUUGAGGCAGGCGGAAUUCGUGGUGUAGCGGUGAAAUGCUUAGAUAUCACGAAGAACUCCGAUUGCGAAGGCAGCCUGCUAAGCUGCAACUGACAUUGAGGCUCGAAAGUGUGGGUAUCAAACAGGAUUAGAUACCCUGGUAGUCCACACGGUAAACGAUGAAUACUCGCUGUUUGCGAUAUACGGCAAGCGGCCAAGCGAAAGCGUUAAGUAUUCCACCUGGGGAGUACGCCGGCAACGGUGAAAC
rnacentral:rRNA from 1 species